AAAUAAAAAGAGACCGAAUACGAUUCCUGUAUUCGGUCCAGGGAAAUGGCUCUUGGGAGAGAGCCGUGCGCUAAAAGUUGGCAUUAAUGCAGGCUAAAAUCGCCUUGCCCUUUAAGAAUAGAUGACGACGCCAGGUUUUCCAGUUU
rfam:Salmonella enterica subsp. enterica serovar Newport str. S09097 S_Newport_S09097_mira454_c814, whole genome shotgun sequence.